rfam:Myotis lucifugus cont2.38516, whole genome shotgun sequence.
GGAUGUGAGGGAUAUCUGGCUGCGACAUCUGUCACCCCACUGACCUCCAGGGUUGAUUAGCUGAUCUGGCUGGCUAGGAAGGUGUCUUCAUCCACCAUCACCAAUCCUUGUGCACAGUCCGUCAAAGAGGAUGACCUUCCCCCCAGAGGAGAGGACUGGUCUUCGGUCAAGGGAAUACGAGUAGCUGCACUUUCCUGCUAGAACCUCCAAACAAGCUCUCAAAAAUGGGCAUGGACCAUUGCACAUGGAUUCACCAUAAAAAAUCUUAAAUGUCCUGUCACCUUUG